rnacentral:lncRNA from 1 species
GUUGACUAUUAUGUAACAGAUGGCCUGACAGACCUCCGACUCUUUGCAGUGAUGGCUAGCUUGGCGUAGAAAAUAGCAGCACUGGAGUAAGCAUUCAGCGGCAUAGACGCUCAUGAAUUUUAACUCCUCGGUGACAAAGGAAUUCAAGGGGCCAUCACCAGAAGGUUCAUCUCAUCAACUCUUGUUACUGAAACAGCAUCUUCCAUGGCCAAGAAUUGAACACUGCAACUUAGUGAACUUCCUCUAUCGUGUCCAGACAAUAUGGAGUGCUUUUCCUGAAUUACAUGUUCAUCAAGAAUCACAACUGCAUUCACCUGACAGUUAGGAUUACAGUAUCAUAUCGGCCAGGCCAUCACUUCUGCAAUCUUCACCAGCAAAGGAGGCAGAUAUUCUGUGGCUUCGUACUGGGGCACCUUGGAACACACUUUCUGUGGUUUGUUUGGCCCUGCUGAACAUGACAAACUGGACAUAAGAAGGCAUUAUAAGUACUGGGUGAAUGCUCAUGUCUUUGCUGCCCAUUGGAACAGUGUUAAAAUAAAGCUCCUUUUGACACGCUUAGGUGUAAACAUCGUUUCCAGGUAGGAAAGUGUUCUGAAGAUUUUUAAGCCAGGUGAUUUUAAAAAUGCUCCCUUUGAAACAAAAGGACCUCAGCAGGGAUUUUGGCUGAUGCAUUUGUGAGGCAAAGGGGAAUAUAUCAGCAUGACUUAGCCUCUGGCUCCCGAGGAUGGUUUCACGCGUGGGAAAUGCGGCUGCGAGAGCACCGGCCAAGGCGCGCUGAUGCGGGCGCUGUCCGUG